rnacentral:tRNA from 1 species
GCCUUAGUAGCUUAACCCUUCAAAGCAUUGGUCUUGUAAACCAAAGACGGGGCCCAGAAACCCCCUAAGACA